UCCGGUUUAACACCGGCAGUCUCGUUAGAGUGCUCAGCCUAACUGUUAGCAACUAACGACGAGGGUUGCGCUCGUUGCGGGACUUAACCCAACAUCUCACGACACGAGCUGACGACAACCAUGCACCACCUGUACAGGACCCUUGCGGACCCGACAUCUCUGCCGGAUUUCCCUGUAUGUCAAGCCUUGGUAAGGUUCUUCGCGUUGCGUCGAAUUAAGCCACAUGCUCCGCCGCUUGUGCGGGCCCCCGUCAAUUCCUUUGAGUUUUAGCCUUGCGGCCGUACUCCCCAGGCGGGGCGCUUAAUGCGUUAGCUGCGGCACAGAGGACGUGGAAAGUCCCCCACACCUAGUGCCCAUCGUUUACGGCGUGGACUAC
rnacentral:misc_RNA from 1 species